rnacentral:rRNA from 1 species
GACAGAGGUGCCGAGCGUUAGGCGGAAUCACUGGGCUUAAAGCGUGUGUAGGCGGGGCGUUAAGUGCUUUGUGAAAUCCCACGGCUCACCCGUGGAACUGCUGGGUAUACUGGGCGUCUUGAGCCACCUAGGGGCCAGCGGAACAAAUGGUGGAGCGGUGAAAUGCGUAGAGAUCGGAAAGAACACCAACGGCGAAAGCACUCUGCUGGGCCGACACUGACACUGAGAGACGAAAGCUAGGGGAGCGAAUGGG